CCUACGGGAGGCAGCAGUGGGGAAUAUUGCACAAUGGGCGCAAGCCUGAUGCAGCCAUGCCGCGUGUGUGUGAAGAAGGCCUUCGGGUUGUAAGGCACUUUCAGCGGGGAGGAAGGCGUUAAGGUUAAUAACCUUGGCGAUUGACGUUACCCGCAGAAGAAGCACCGGCUAACUCCGUGCCAGCAGCCGCGGUAAU
rnacentral:rRNA from 1 species